rnacentral:pre_miRNA from 1 species
AAAAAGACAAACCCUGAGUUUCCGUGUCCAACUUUGACUGUCCGUCUUAUAUGAAAUUUUUUUAUAAUUCGUAUUUUUAUUGUUGUUACAUAAUAAAAUAUAAUUAAUAUUUUAUGCGUGACUUGUCUUUUUAAUUUUUUUCAUAAUUUUUUCAAAUAAGACGGACAGUCAAAUGUUGGGCACGGAAACCAGGGUUUGUCUUUUU